rnacentral:rRNA from 1 species
AUACGGAGGGGGCUAGCGUUGUUCGGAAUUACUGGGCGUAAAGCGCACGUAGGCGGACCGGAAAGUCAGAGGUGAAAUCCCAGGGCUCAACCUUGGAACUGCCUUUGAAACUCCUGGUCUUGAGGUCGAGAGAGGUGAGUGGAAUUCCGAGUGUAGAGGUGAAAUUCGUAGAUAUUCGGAGGAACACCAGUGGCGAAGGCGGCUCACUGGCUCGAUACUGACGCUGAGGUGCGAAAGCGUGGGGAGC